GCAAAUGCAUUCUCAAGUGGCGCAGGAAAGUGACGUCACGGACCCCCCCUCGUUCUGGCCCCUUCUGCAUUUUACGGCAUUUUAAACAAUGCCGGCUCAUUGCGCUGCAUUUAAUUGCACAUUACGUCGAACGUUGGAGACAAGGAAACUUGGAAUAACUUUCCAUAGGUUUCCCAAAGACUUUCGGCUGAGGAGGAAGUAGGAAGCAGCUUUGAGGAGAGUGGGGUUUGCUGCAAGUGAUGAGUUGGUGCUCUGCAGCAAACAUUUUAAACCUGAUGAGUUUGACAGUGUGGGGUGUGAAGUGUUACUUACUCAGGGAAACACACAACAAUGUACCUGUGUAUUGUAAAUGUAAAUAAACUGUAUUCUGUUCCA